UAGGGAAUCUUCCGCAAUGGACGCAAGUCUGACGGAGCAACGCCGCGUGAGUGAAGAAGGAUUUCGGUUCGUAAAACUCUGUUGUUAGAGAAGAACAGCGCAUAGAGUAACUGUUAUGCGUGUGACGGUAUCUGACCAGAAAGCCACGGCUAACUACGUGCCAGCAGCCGCGGUAAUACGUAGGUGGCAAGCGUUGUCCGGAUUUAUUGGGCGUAAAGCGAGCGCCGGCGGUCAAUUAAGUCUGAUGUGAAAGCCCCCGGCUCAACCGGGGAGGGUCAUUGGAAACUGGUUGACUUGAGUGCAGAAGAGGAGAGUGGAAUUCCAUGUGUAGCGGUGAAAUGCGUAGAUAUAUGGAGGAACACCAGUGGCGAAGGCGACUCUCUGGUCUGUGACUGACGCUGAGGCUCGAAAGCGUGGGUAGCAAACAGG
rnacentral:rRNA from 1 species